rnacentral:lncRNA from 1 species
UGUCUUGUUAAAGUGCUUACUUUUCCCAUGAGGGAUUCAGAUAAUUUGUUUUCUCUUUGGUUUGGAUAUUAGGGGUAAUUUCUCCCCUUAAAAAUCGAGUUCUGAAGGAAGCUGGUGGCUACAGCUCCGAUUGGACCCCUAGCCCUAAAGUGCGGCCCUAAAAAGCCAAAAAAAAAAAAAAAAAAAAAAAGGCUUUUUUCUUCAGAAUGCUUAGUAGUUGAUUUUGUAGCCUAAACUUUCUAGACUGGUGCAGUAGGGAAAGGAACCAGGAAAGGUAGGGGCUGGGCUUGAUUGAAUUGUUCACCCAUUUGCUGAUGGAGCCAGAAAAAAACCCAUAACAGCAGAUGUACAAAUUUUCAUCUGUAAUAUUUAUUUAAAACAGGUAUGUCUGAGAGUAUAUGCUUGGGUAAAUUAUAUAUUGAAUUCUACUGCUUAGUAUGAUUGUGUUCAACUAGAUGCAUUUAGUAUUAACUGUGAGAUAUGCUGCAGCAAUAAUAAGAAAUGCAGUGGGUGCCUUUCUGCUGUUAUCAAAAUCCAUUAACAAGUUUUGCUGUGCUUGACUGCUCUCCAUUGUUAGGCUUUAUGGUUCAGACUAAAGCUGUAGAUGUAAAUGACAUCCUUUCUACAACACUUUCUCAAGGUCUCACAGACAAUGAUGUUGUAUUUUGAGCAAACAUUUGUUUACUCCAUAGUAAUAGUUGAUGCUAGACAGCUAUGGUUUGCUUUAGUUCUGCCCCUCUGUUUUAUUAUUCUUUUUUUUUUUUUCCUUCUUUUUUCUUUCUUUCUUUCCCUUUUUUUUUUUUUUUUUUGGACCACACGCACAGCAUAAAGAAGUUGCUGGGCCAGGAAUUGAUCCCGUGCUACAGUUGUGACCUGUGCUGCAACUGCAGCCACGCUGGAUCUUUAACCUGCUGCACCACAUGGGUGUUGGCAGUGUUCUUGAGAUUCUCGAAACUACAGUGACUCCCGACACCCACUCUUCUUUAUUGCUUUAGCUACAGAGAGACAAGAGCUCAGGCCCAGGGAUAACCUUUGGUGUAGAAGAUCCUGUGAAAAGUGGGUAAAGCUGAUUCUUAAGCCACUAAAGCCAAGAAACAAACAAGCAAACCAAAAUUUAGUUUUUGGAGUAGGAGUUUAAAUGUAGGAAAUCUUCUCUUUGCAAGGUGCAAGAUGUUAUGUCAUGAUGUUGAGUGUUUAUUGGUUUUUGUUUGCUUUUUUAAGGGUUGAGAUCUUUUAAGAAUUUUAGAAUCUUCAUUUCUUUAGCUAUUUAAAAAUUUUUUAUUCUUUUGCUUUUUUAGGGCCUCACCUGCAGCAUAUGGAAGCUCCUAGGCUAGGGGUUGAAUCAGAGCUAUAGCUGCCAGUCUGUGUGCUACAGCCACAGCAAUGCAGGAUCCAAGCCAUGUUUGUGAUCUUUACCAUAGCUCAUGGCAACGGCUAGAUCCCUGACCCACUGUGUGAAGCUAGGGAUCGAACCCAAAUCCUCAUGGAUACUAGUUGGAUUUGUUUCUGCAGCACCACAAUGGGAACUCCUCUUUAGCUAUUUAAAGAUUUGGAAUAAAGAUUUAGAAACUUUUGGAGUUCCCAUCGUGGCACAGUGAAUAUGAAUCCGACCAGAAACCAUGAGGUUACCGGUUCCAUCCCUGGCUUCACUCAGUGGGUUAAGGAUCUGGCAUUGUCCUGAGCUGUGGUGUAGGUUGCAGAUGCAGCUCGGAUCCCUCGUUGCUGUGGCUGUGGUGUAGGCUGGCAGCUAUAUCUGUGAUUAGACCCUUAGCCUGGGAACCUCUGUAUGCUGUGAGUGCGGCCCUAAAAAGACAAAAAAAAAAAAAAAGAUUUAGAAACUUUUUUUGGGGGGGGCAGUAGCAGAUCACUUUAUUAAUCGGAGGAAAACUGUGCACUGCCUUUCCAGAAAAAGACAUGCAUACAUUCACUCAACAAGUUUAUUCAGCAGGUGUAUCAAAUGACUACUACCAGACAUAUUUAAAGAUGUUCAGAAUAUAUCAGUGAACAAAAUAGAAAAAAGAACCCCAGUCCUCCAAAACCUUGUCCCUUGUGGCACUUACAUUUUAGUGGAGUCAGCAAGCACUAAACAUAGUAAGUAGGAACAUUGUGCAGUGUAUGAGGAUGUGGUAAGCGCUGUGGAAAAAAUACGAUACAGAAGGGAAGCCUGGUGGUUGUUGCAGUUUAAACAGAAGUUCAGGAUAGGCCUGAUAGGAUGAUAUUUGAGCAAAAGGUUCUAGGUGGUGCUCAAAUUAGUCAUUUGGAGUUCUGGGCUUUGAGCAUGCCAGGCAGAGGGUGGGAGCAAGGAAAACAGCAUGGUUGGAGCCGGACAACAAGGAGAAGGGUGGGUGUUAGUUUUCUGGGGUUGCUGGGUGACUCAGAUCGACAGAAAUGUAUUCUAGGCCAGGAGUCUGAAGCAAAGGUGUGGGCAGAGUUGGUCCCUUCUGGAGGCUGAGUAGUAUUCAUCCCCUGCUUCUCUCCUAGCUUCUGGUGGCUGCCAGCAUCCCUGGGCUUACAGACCAUCACUCCAGUCUCUGCCUCUGGGUUUACUUCUCUGUCUCAUCUCUCUCUACAUGUCAUCAGUUUUAGGACCCACCCCAAAUCCAGGAUGAUCUCAUCUUAAAAUCCUUAGCAGUUGGGAGUUCCCGUCGUGGCUCAGUGGUUAACGAAUCCAGCUAGGAACCAUGAGGUUGUGGGUUUGAUCUCUGGCCUCGCUCAGUGGGUUAAGGAUCUGGCAUUGCUGUGAGCUGUGGUGUGGGUCGCAGAUGCAGCUCGGAUCCUGCGUUGCUGUGGCUCUGGUGUAGGCUGAUGGCUACAGCUCUGAUUAGACCCCUAGCCUGGGAACCUCCACGUGCUGUGGGAGC